AUGGCCGCGAUGGAGAGCAAGAGCCGGAGGUUCGCGCUGGCGUGCGGCGUCCUCAGCCAGUACGUCAAGGCGGAGCAGAAGAUGUCCUCCUCCGCCGUCGUCGCCCCGCCCCCGCGCGCCCCGCCGGCCACCACGCUCAGCCUCAUGCCCGGCGCCGACGUCGGCCAGGACCACGCCGCGGCGGCCGCUGAGGAGGCGGGCCCGGCCACGCCGCUCACCAUCUUCUACGGCGGCAGGGUAGUCGUCUUCGAGGACUUCCCCGCGGACAAGGCGGCCGAGGUCAUGCGCAUGGCCACCACCGCCGGCGUCGAGCGCGCGGCCGCCACGCCCGCCCCGGCCCCGGCGCUCGCGGACCUGCCCAUCAUGCGCAAGGCCUCCCUGCAGAGGUUCUUCGAGAAGCGCAAGGACCGCCUCGGCGCGCGCGCGCCCUACGCCCGCCCCGCCGCGCCGGCAGCCAACAAGGGCUCGGAGGACAAGUCGGCGUCGUCCUCCUCGUGGCUCGGGCUGGCCAGCGCCGACGGCGCCUUCGCGCUCUGA
rnacentral:rRNA from 1 species